GUGAGGAAUUUUCCGCAAUGGGCGAAAGCCUGACGGAGCAAUGCCGCGUGAAGGAUGAAGGCCUAUGGGUUGUAAACUUCUUUUCUCAGAAAAGAAUUAUGACGGUAUCUGAGGAAUAAGCAUCGGCUAACUCUGUGCCAGCAGCCGCGGUAAGACAGAGGAUGCAAGCGUUAUCCGGAAUGAUUGGGCGUAAAGCGUCUGUAGGUUGUUUAAAAAGUAUUCUGUCAAAGAUUAGGGCUUAACCCUAGAUAGGCAGAAUAAACUUUUAAGCUAGAGUUUGGUAGAGGCAGAGGGAAUUCCCGGUGGAGCGGUGAAAUGCGUAGAUAUCGGGAGGAACACCAAAGGCGAAGGCACUCUGCUGGGCCAAUACUAACACUGAGGAGCGAAAGCGUGGGUAGCAAACAGGAUUAGAAACCCCGGUAGUCC
rnacentral:rRNA from 1 species